rnacentral:rRNA from 1 species
UACGUAGGUGACAAGCGUUGUCCGGAAUUAUUGGGCGUAAAGAGCUCGUAGGCGGUGUGUCGCGUCGGCCGUGAAAACCUGCAGCUUAACUGUGGGCUUGCGGUCGAUACGGGCAUCACUGGAGUUCGGCAGGGGAGACUGGAAUUCCUGGUGUAGCGGUGAAAUGCGCAGAUAUCAGGAGGAACACCGGUGGCGAAGGCGGGUCUCUGGGCCGAUACUGACGCUGAGGAGCGAAAGCGUGGGGAGCGAACAGG